rnacentral:rRNA from 1 species
AUUAGUUGUGUAGGGGUAAAAUCCGUAGAGAUAACUAGGAAUACCAAAAGCGAAGGCGAUCUUCUGGAACAGUACUGACGCUGAGGCGCGAAAGCGUGGGGAGCAAACAGGAUUAGAUACCCUGGUAGUCCACGCCCUAAACGAUGAAUGUUAGUCGUCGGGAUGCAAGUCAUUUCGGUGAUGCAGUUAACACAUUAAACAUUCCGCCUGGGGAGUACGGUCGCAAGAUUAAAACUCAAAGGAAUAGACGGGGACCCGCACAAGUGGUGGAGCAUGUGGUUUAAUUCGAAGAUACGCGAAGAACCUUACCUGGCCUUGACAUUGAUAGAACCCAGUAGAGAUACAGGGGUGCCCUUCGGGGAGCUUGAAAACAGGUGCUGCACGGCUGUCGUCAGCUCGUGUCGUGAGAUGUUGGGUUAAGUCCCGCAACGAGCGCAACCCUCGUCACUAGUUACUAACGGUUCGGCCGAGGACUCUAGUGAGACUGCCUUCGUAAGGAGGAGGAAGGUGAGGACGACGUCAAGUCAUCAUGGCCCUUACGGCCAGGGCGACACACGUGCUACAAUGGGGAGGACAAUGAGACGCAAUACCGCGAGGUGGAGCAAAUCUAUAAACCUUCUCUCAGUUCGGAUAGAUCUCUGCAACUCGAGAUCUUGAAGCUGGAAUCACUAGUAAUCGUAGAUCAGCCAUGCUACGGUGAAUACGUUCCCGGGUCUUGUACUCACCGCCCGUCACACCAUGGGAGUUGAUUUCACCCGAAGCGGGGAAGCUAAACUGGCUACCCUCCACGGUGGAAUUAGCGACUGGGGUGAAGUCGUAACAAGGUA